rnacentral:rRNA from 1 species
UUAGUACGGCGAGUGAGCGGUAAAAGCUCAAAUUUGAAAUCUGGUACUUUCAGUGCCCGAGUUGUAAUUUGUAGAAUUUGUCUUUGAUUAGGUCCUUGUCUAUGUUCCUUGGAACAGGACGUCAUAGAGGGUGAGAAUCCCGUUUGGCGAGGAUACCUUUUCUCUGUAAGACUUUUUCGAAGAGUCGAGUUGUUUGGGAAUGCAGCUCAAAGUGGGUGGUAAAUUCCAUCUAAAGCUAAAUAUUGGCGAGAGACCGAUAGCGAACAAGUACAGUGAUGGAAAGAUGAAAAGAACUUUGAAAAGAGAGUGAAAAAGUACGUGAAAUUGUUGAAAGGGAAGGGCAUUUGAUCAGACAUGGUGUUUUUUGCAUGCACUCGCCUCUCGUGGGCUUGGGCCUCUCAAAAAUUUCACUGGGCCAACAUCAAUUCUGGCAGCAGGAUAAAUCAUUAAGAAUGUAGCUACUUCGGUAGUGUUAUAGCUUUUUGGAAUACUGUUAGCCGGGAUUGAGGACUGCGCUUCGGCAAGGAUGUUGGCAUAAUGGUUAAAUGCCGCCCGUCUU